rnacentral:piRNA from 1 species
UAACACAAGACCAAAGUCUGACCAGAGC